rnacentral:misc_RNA from 1 species
GAUGAAGAACGCAGCGAAAUGCGAUAAGUAGUGUGAAUUGCAGAAUUCCGUGAAUCAUCGAAUCUUUGAACGCACAUUGCGCCUCCUGGUAAUCCGUGAGGCAUGCCUGUCCGAGCGUCAGUAAAAAGCAACUCGGCCGCGGCUGGCGGUUGGUGAUGGAGGAAGAGCACGUCUCGUUGUCGGUCUCCCUCCCAAAAUCAACGGCGGAAUGUCACUGGCACUCGGUGUUGUAGUAUUAUUCGCCGAUCACCCAUUGUUGUUCCUGCCGCCCAAACCCCCACAAUUCUCUUGAUUGACCUCGGAUCAGGUAGGGAUACCCGCUGAACUUAAGCAUAUCAAUAAGCGGAGGA